UACGAAGGGGGCUAGCGUUGUUCGGAAUUACUGGGCGUAAAGGGCGCGUAGGCGGCUACUUAAGUCAGGUGUGAAAGCCCUGGGCUUAACCUAGGAGGUGCACUUGAAACUGAGUGGCUAGAGGACGAGAGAGGAUAGUGGAAUUGCGAGUGUAGAGGUGAAAUUCGUAGAUAUUCGUAAGAACACCAGUGGCGAAGGCGACUAUCUGGCUCGUUUCUGACGCUGAGGCGCGAAAGCGUGGGGAGCAAACAGG
rnacentral:rRNA from 1 species